rnacentral:lncRNA from 1 species
UUUUUUUUUAAAGAGAGAGUGAGAGAGAUAGAGGUAGAGAGAGAGAGAAUUUUUUAAUAUUUAUUUUUUAGUAUUUGGCGGACACAACAUCUUUGUUUGUAUGUGGUGCUGAGGAUCGAACCCGGGCCGCACGCAUGCCAGGCGAGCGCGCUACCGCUUGAGCCACAUCCCAGCCCCAAGCUGAAAUUUUUAAGCUUAAUGAGUUUUGCUUUACAAGAGUGAAGACAAAAUUAGACUCGGCUGAAUCACUUUUAAUGGAAACAUGAGCUUAGAGAGAUUUAUUCAACAUUGGUCAUUUGCUGGGCUCUGGAUUCUAGUUUUAAGUCCUUAAAAGUAUCAUUCUAUAGGGAUUGAAAGAGUACAGUGCAUCUUUAGGAAAAAAAAAAAAAAGUCUUGGCUUGGGGCUCUCCUGAAACCCCCAAAACAGUGGAAGUGAAGAAUGGAGAUUAGGGAUAAUCUAAUCUUUAGAUGAAGGGUAGUGACCUCUACUGUGACCACCAUGAAGCAUAUCUCCAGCUUUGUGGAAAACCAAAGUCUGGUCUGAUUGGCAUGAUAACUUUAUGAAGUAAACAGCUAGGAACCCCGCUUAUAGGUGAAGAAGUCUGAGAAGUAAGGUGACUUGAGUAAGUUCAUGAGUGACUGAAUCAAGCACGUUUAAGCCCUAGAGGUAUCAGAAAGCAGGCCUUCAGAGGACAAGUAGGACUGACUGAAAGGUCAUGAAUCCAGAAGUCUAACUUCCAGCAUUGAGGUUAUCUUUUAUUUGAAUUGUUACCUAUUUGCAUAUUGCCUGUCCCAUGUAUGCUCCCCAAGAAUAAGGAGGUGUUUUUCCCCCAUUGCUGUAUUCUAGUACUUAGAAUAGGUACUCAGUAAAUACUUGUUAAAUGAAUUGUUAAGUGUAAGCUAUGUAUAUUAUAGAGUUCUGAUUUGAUUUCCCAAUUUUAACCUAGACCAGAGAGUGAAGAAUGCAGAUGUGGAGGAAGUGAUUAAAACAUGAAUAGGAAUUUAAAAAAGUAGAAAAUGUCACAAAGAAAAAUUGGGAGUAGCAAUCAGUAUAAGACAGAUAAAUCAAGAGGAACAAAGGCAUUGAAGUUUGAAGAAAAAUACUAUAGAUGAGAACUAAGGUUUUUAUUUAUUUAUUUUUUUAUAUGGUGCUGAGGAUCAAAUCCAGUACCUCAUAUGUGCGAGGCAAGUGCUCUAUCACUGAGCCACAAAGCUAUAUCGACGUGCAUUUAUGAAUUCCAGUUCUAAAUCUGGCACAAAUUUUUCAUGUUUCCCAUUGAAUCUCCAAGUGGAUAUUUUCCUCUUCAGUAAUCAAAGUGCCAUUAUCAAGAGUAAGUGCUAUGGGGGGCUGGGGUGGUGGCUCAAUGGUAGAGCACUUACCUAGCAUGUGUGAGGCACUGGGUUUGAUUUUCAGCACUGUAUAUAAAAUAAAAUCAUGGUCCAUUGACAACUAACAAAAAUAUGUAUAUGGUAAAUGCCAUGUCUCAGUGUGGCAGAAAUAUUUCUAAAAUGCUGAGCUGAAUGUACUGGCACUCAAUGCAGCUGUGGUGCCUGUGGUAUCAGUAGAAACUUCUGAAAAGUAAUUUGGUGGCUGAUGGUAUAGUAGGAAUACCAUGUAUUUUGGAGCAAGGCCAAUCUGGGCUGAAGUAAUGCCUGUCAUAUUAGCCAAGUGCCUUGGGUAAGUCACUUUUCUGAAUCUGUUUCCCCAUCUGUAUAAUGGGGAUAAUAUUACAUGAUAGCCCUCACAGGGCUAUCAUGAGUACUAAACGAGAAUGCAGUCGAUGAAAAGUGCCAAUAUUGCAGGGCGUAGAGAGGCACUGUGAUGAGUGGGUCCCCUCAGAAAUGGGUAUAUCGCAGUUAGGUGCUGCUCUAUGGAGAGUGAAGAAUGAGGACUUUUUAGUCGCAGAAGAUGGGUUAUGACAGGUGCGAGUUCGGCGUAUUUAGGUUGUUAGCUAGCUUGUAGGCCUGCAAAGCCUAAUAUGGGCAUUUUGUUGUCUAACAAGCAAGAAUGUCAUGCAAAUACGUGUUCACCUGCGAAACUCUACCUUAGAGAUUCUGGCAAACAUCCGAUUGCACCUGACACGCCCUCAGAACAAAUGCUGUUGCUAUAGUAAGCCAGCCUCCUGAUCCCUCAAAGAAACAAACCAUUAAAUUCGCUAGCAGCAUGUCGGAUUUCCUCUCUAGUUCCAACAUUGGUGCUUUUUAGGGAGUGAAUGGGAUGAAAGGGACCAAAUAGCUUGGAUUUCAAGGAUCAAGCC